rnacentral:rRNA from 1 species
UAACAAGGAUUCCCCUAGUAACUGCGAGUGAAGCGGGAAGAGCUCAAAUUUAAAAUCUGGCAGUCUUCUGGCUGUCCGAGUUGUAAUCUGGAGAAGCGUUUUCUGUGUUAGACYGUGUACAAGUCUCCUGGAACGGAGCGUCAUAGAGGGUGAGAAUCCCGUCCAUGACACGGACUACUAAUACUUUGUGAUACGCUCUCGAAGAGUCGAGUUGUUUGGGAAUGCAGCUCAAAAUGGGUGGUAAAUUCCAUCUAAAGCUAAAUACAGGCGAGAGACCGAUAGCGAACAAGUACCGUGAGGGAAAGAUGAAAAGCACUUUGGAAAGAGAGUUAAACAGUACGUGAAAUUGUUGAAAGGGAAACGCUUGAAGUCAGUCGCGUUGUGCAGAACUCAGCCUUGCCUCGGCUUGGUGUACUUUCUGCACAACGGGUCAACAUCAAUUUUGGCCUAUGGAGAAAGGUGGGGGGAAUGUAGCGCUGUUUCGGCAGCGUGUUAUAGCCCUCUAUUGUAUACAUGGGCUGGGAUUGAGGAUCGCAGCACGCCCUUGUGGCCGGGGGUUCGCCCUACGUACCGUGCUUAGGAUGUUGGCAGAAUGGCUUUAAGCGACCCGUCUUGAAACACGGACCAAGGAGUCUAACAUGCUUGCGAGUGUUCGGGUGGAAAACCCUUGUGCGUAAUGAAAGUGAAAGUUGGGAACCUCCGCAAGGGGGUGCACCGACGCCCGGCCCUGACGUUCUCUGACGGUGCUGCGGUAGAGCAAGUAUGCUAGGACCCGAAAGAUGGUGAACUAUGCCUGAAUAGGGCGAAGCCAGAGGAAACUCUGGUGGAGGCUCGUAGCGAUUCUGACGUGCAAAUCGAUCGUCAAAUUUGGG